AGGCCAUGUGGAGAGGCCCCACGUACGUGUCCAGCUGAGGUCCCAGCUGACAGCUGGCAUUGACAUGUGAGUGAGACUCUGAACUGUCCCAGCUGAUGACAAGUGCAGUUUGAGUGAGCUAUCCCUGUUGGACCUGUCAAAACUGCAGAUUUCAUGAAGAAAAUAAGUGUUGUUGAUUUAAGCCAAUUUGAAUGAAAAUGGAUGAAUCCACAAUUGUCCUAUGGUGGGAACCAGCCUUAAAAAUGAAGCCAACCAUGUGUAUAGCAAAGACAAGAAAUGUAGAGAACCUAAGUCCUAGGUAAUAACACUGGGGUACUGGAUCAACCAGCUUUUAUUAAACUUCCUGUUAAAUGA